rnacentral:tRNA from 1 species
GCAAUGGUGGUUCGGUGGGAGAAUUCCUGCCUUCCAUGUGGAAGACCCAGGUUUGACUCCCAGCCAAUGCA